rnacentral:rRNA from 1 species
GAUGAACGCUGGCGGCGUGCCUAAUACAUGCAAGUCGAGCGAACAGAUAAGGAGCUUGCUCCUUUGACGUUAGCGGCGGACGGGUGAGUAACACGUGGGUAACCUACCUAUAAGACUGGGAUAACUUCGGGAAACCGGAGCUAAUACCGGAUAACAUUUGGAACCGCAUGGUUCUAAAGUGAAAGAUGGUUUUGCUAUCACUUAUAGAUGGACCCGCGCCGAAUUAGCUAGUUGGUAAGGUAACGGCUUACCAAGGCAACGAUACGUAGCCGACCUGAGAGGGUGAUCGGCCACACUGGAACUGAGACACGGUCCAGACUCCUACGGGAGGCAGCAGUAGGGAAUCUUCCGCAAUGGGCGAAAGCCUGACGGAGCAACGCCGCGUGAGUGAUGAAGGGUUUCGGCUCGUAAAACUCUGUUAUUAGGGAAGAACAAAUGUGUAAGUAACUGUGCACGUCUUGACGGUACCUAAUCAGAAAGCCACGGCUAACUACGUG